ACUUAAUUACUGAACAGCGGCGCAGUAUCCUAGUCGGAUCUGCCGUCUUGUAAGAAGGGCCUAAAAAUCCUUUAAAGGGCACAACUGUGAAGUCCCUGGUGCCUGCUGCUUACGCCCAGUUUGGGGUGGGUGCUGGGGGGAGACGUGGGAGCCCCCGCGUCUGCGGUGGUAGGGCGCCCUCCAAUGGCAUGGAGGACCCGACCCUGCUACCGUGGAGACCUGCUGUUGUGCACAGGCGUACUCCCUCUGUGGUCAAGCGACCUGUGUACGAGGCAGAUGAUGAACCUGCAAUGCGGUGCUACCCGGCUUCACUGCCGUAACGCUGUGUGCAGAGUAGCCUGCCUUGCGUGGGCACGGUGGAUAGGGAAGUGGAAGCACCGGUCUCCCCGGCCAGGGAGGCUGUGUUGAUUCCCUUGAAACCCUGGCUGCAAAAGAGGCUAAGAGACGGUCUGACCGCUGUGGAAAUCACCUAGGCUGUCCUCACGGGACAUCGGAGGGAUUGCAGUGCGGACUAAGUGGCAAUCGGGUCCCAUGGCCGGCAACACCAUGGCGCAGCGCCUAACGGGAAACCGCCUGACCGGCGACGGAAGGCGCGCUGCGGGGAAAUCCAACCCGUACCUAAGCCGUAAGAUUAACCUUCGGCGUUGCCCUGUUCAGUGUACUAUAA
rfam:Oscillibacter sp. CAG:241 genomic scaffold, scf117